GACGAACGCUGGCGGCGUGCUUAACACAUGCAAGUCGAACGGAAAGGCCCUGCUUUUGUGGGGUGCUCGAGUGGCGAAAGGGUGAGUAACACGUGAGUAACCUGCCCUUGACUUUGGGAUAACUUCAGGAAACUGGGGCUAAUACCGGAUAGGAGCUCCUGCUGCAUGGUGGGGGUUGGAAAGUUUCGGCGGUUGGGGAUGGACUCGCGGCUUAUCAGCUUGUUGGUGGGGUAGUGGCUUACCAAGGCUUUGACGGGUAGCCGGCCUGAGAGGGUGACCGGCCACAUUGGGACUGAGAUACGGCCCAGACUCCUACGGGAGGCAGCAGUGGGGAAUAUUGCACAAUGGGCGGAAGCCUGAUGCAGCAACGCCGCGUGCGGUAUGACGGCCUUCGGGUUGUAAACCGCUUUCGCCUGUGACGAAGCGUGAGUGACGGUAAUGGGUAAAGAAGCACCGGCUAACUACGUG
rnacentral:rRNA from 1 species